rnacentral:rRNA from 1 species
AACGAACGCUGGCGGCGCGCCUAAUACAUGCAAGUCGAGCGAGAAGACGUAGCAAUACGUUUGUAAAGCGGCGAACGGGUGAGGAAUACAUGGGUAACCUACCCUCGAGUGGGGGAAUAACUAGCCGAAAGGUUAGCUAAUACCGCGUACGCUCCUUGGGACUUCGGUUCAGGGAGGAAAGCGAUACCGUGGGUAUCGCGCUCUUGGAUGGGCUCAUGUCCUAUCAGCUUGUUGGGAGGUAACGGCUCACCAAGGCUUCGACGGGUAGCUGGUCUGAGAGGACGAUCAGCCACACUGGCACUGCGACACGGGCCAGACUCCUACGGGAGGCAGCAGUAAGGAAUAUUGCGCAAUGGGCGAAAGCCUGACGCAGCGACGCCGCGUGGGGGAUGAAGGUCUU